rnacentral:lncRNA from 1 species
AAAGAAAUAUCACGCUCUAGUUUCCAAUCUUUUUAUAAGAUCCUAUCUCAUCUAUCCCACUACAUCCCUUUGGUCUCCGACUCCAUUCCCCAGUUCUCUCCUCGUCACCGAACCCUGUGGAUGGCCGCUGGAGCUCCGAUCUCGUCCGUCCACCUCCCAUCCUGCGGGGUCGGGAUUCCGACGACGCGGUGCUCUGGGCCGUGGUUGACACAAGUUCGACGCUUACUUCCUUAUUCCAGGUCAAGUGAUUUUUAGGGUUGGGGAUCUCUCCAUACAUUGGUUGGGUGAAAGAGUGCCACGAGGGAUGGGUCGCAGAGGCGUCAUGUGUCAGGCCAAUGUUGUGGAUUGGAAAGAGAAAUUUUGGGCUUUGGAUGGCCCCAACGCUCUCAAAUGAAUCAAAGAGUCCUAGAAAAAAACCGGUACUUUUACGGAGACUUGUACUGCAUUGUAUAGAAAGAUAUGAACAUAGUUUUCUACUUUGUCAGUGUUUGACUUAGUAACAAUUUUGAGAGUUAUUUGUGUCACUACUACCUUCCAUGAUUCAUUGUUUUAGAUGUGAUGCUAAGACAACAAUUACAAUUGCUAUAUAAAAGCUUUGUGAAAUUAAUUUUUGCAAACCAUUUAGUUGUUUGUUUAUUCUUUAUGAGCAAGCUAUCAAAGUACCUUGUUCCAUUUUAUUGUUUAGUACAAGCAUUAUUGUGCGCCGACUGCUGCCAUUUGAUCCGGUUAUGAAGCUAUCUUUCUUUUUUUCUUUUUCAAUAACAUAAUAUGACAUAUAAUCGUUUGUUCUUGAAAAAUGAGCAUAUUUUUACCUCCACAUGUUUACAAUAUUCUAGUCUAUGAUUUCACAUUUACAUAAUUGUAUCACAGAUAAGAUGCCUGAUAAAAUAUUCUUUUUAUUAGUUUAUAAUUAUGGUGGAUUUUCAUCAUCAUGCCCUGGUAAUUUAUGUGCUCUCUCUCCCGCUCUCUUGCUCUGAUCCUCAGCUAAAUUUUGGUCACAAGGGAAUCAUAUUCAGUCUGAAUUUACUUUGUAAACAUCUUCAGUCAUGCAAAUUUCCUAGAGAUUUUAUGUUUCUGUUUCUCCUUUAUUUGAUUUGUAGAGGUACAUGAAUAUAUACAGCAAUAAUUGCUGUUUUCCAUGCAUUUUGGUUGGGACUGAAAUACUUCAUGAUAUUUGCUGUUUUCUUUAGAAAUUAGAAUGUGCCCCGUAUCUCACUAUCUAUUGCUGCCUCUAUCUGGGUCCACAGGCUCAGUUAAUCUGGUCAAAAGCACAUAAAUGAUGCUGCUUAUUUUGUAGGUUCAGAAACUCCUCCAUUUUUUUAUUUCCGAAGCAAUUCAUCAGUGCUUUCUGUAACUCAGUCAUAUAUUGUCCCCAAGAUUUGAGGUAGAGUUCUUUAGUUAUUGGAAGCUGCAAUCAGUGCCAGAUAAACAGCAUCACUGCUGUCUUUGUUUAACAGCUUGGGUGACUUUGGAGUAUAAUAAGUGGGAUUUCACUGAAAGCUGCCUUUGGUGGCAUACCAUUGUUAUCAUGGAUAGAUGCUGAGGUAAAUGUUCACUAGCACCAGGAAGGAUAGAGCUGGAAACAAGUACAUCAAAGGGCAAAGUGAGGGGAGCCACAAGAACUAGUUUCUCCAUUAGCUUUAUAGGCCAAAGCUGGUUAUAUUGAAGAAAACCUCAUGGAUCGAGACGUGUUGAGGGGUCGCAUGAAGAUGAGAAGAUUAAUGAAAUUUUUCAUGGAAGAAAUAAGAAGGGAUUAAGAAAACUUAUGUUCAAGUAGAUUGUGUUGGAAAGGAAUUAAACUGAAUUUUCCAACCUUGCUGUAACAUCAGUUAUUUUUUGAGAAGCAUCUUAGGGAAUAGCAAAGAAGACCCUUCUCAACAUAAAAAAGUUAGCCAUCUAAUGACUUCUUGAAAAUUCUUCCUAUCCAGCCAAACUCUCCAGCAAAUGGCCAUAGAAAGAAGAGUUCAACCAGCUCUGGAACUUUUUUUUUUUGACCCUCUUUCUUCUUCAAAUGGUCCAAAAGGAAACAAUAGAAGGUGGAUAUCCUUUAAUACUCAGUGUUCUUUUUAAAUGAUCCCAUAUUCUCUAGAUAAACCUACAAUCCAAAAGAAGAUAUGAGGAUUCUUUGAGCACAGCUACAAAAAAGACAGCAAUGGGGAUGAGGCCAAUCCCUUUUCAGAAAAUUGUCAGCAGUAAGUAUUCUGUUUCUGGAAGAUACAAGGUCAGAUAUUUAAUCUCACCUUUCUUCAAGCCCUUCUUUCCAUAAUUUGCUUCUCACACUCUUCAACUUCUCUUCUGGGCCUACAUAUAUGCCCAGUUUCCAGAUGACUGUAAUACGAUAAUUUGCAGAAAUGCUAAAUCAGUUUGUGUCAAGGUACCAAUAUACAUAUAUAUAAAGAUACUUAUGAUGAAUGCCGACUGUAAUGCGGUAGAUGCAAGUUAAGUAUGUUUCUAUUAUGUGGGUAAUUGGAUUUAGGGAAAUAAAAGGAAGAGUAAAAGAAAACCUGUCCUCUGCUUGUGUACUUAAUGAUUUGCUGCACUGUCACCCCAUCAAUGAAGUGUUUACCAAAUGCAAAAUGCAGUACCAUAAAAUUAAAGGUAUCAGAUUUAUUGUGGGAUUGAAAGCAAAUACCAGUAAAGCUAGAUGUAUGGGUGGCAAUUGGGUCAGCUUGGGUCGGAUAUGGGUUGGGUGGGAACUGGUUUGGAUUGGAUGUAGGUUGGGUCAAAAAUUCAGAUCUGAAAUUGACUUGUUUAUUAAAUAGAUAACUCAAUUUGACUUGAAUAACCCAUUUAUUUCAUAGGUCAAUUUCGGUUAAUGGGUUAAACAUGUUAAGUGGAGUUUUAAUAGGUUAAACAAGUUAAGCGGGUAAGAUUAAACAAGAUAAAAAUAGGUUAAAUAGGUUAACUAUGUCUUAAAUGGGUUAUUUGACUCAAUCCAGUCUAAAUAUUAAAUAGCUUAAAUGGAUUAAAUGAGUCAGAUGUUUGAAACCCAAACCCAACACGAAUGUUAAAUAGGUGAAAUGGGUUGAUCUUUUUAUGAUCUGAACCUCUUUAGCCAAAACUCGAUUCUGCUUAUGGUAGGUUGGUCACGGGUCGGACUGAUUGGUUGGGUCAUAUUUUUAAUAGGUAAAGCAAGUUAAGUAGGUUAGGUUAAAUAGAACAAAAAUAGGUUAAACAUGUUUUAUUAAAUGGGUUAUUUGACUCAAUCCGUCCUAAAUAUUAAACGGGUUAAAUAGAUUAACUGAGUUCGAUGCUUGAAACUCAAACCUAACAUAAAUGUUAAAUAGGUGAAACAAGUCGACCUAUUUAUGAUCUGAACCUAUUUAGCUAAAACUCAAUCCUGCUUAUGGUAGGUCGAUCAUGGGUCGGGUUGAUUGGUUGGGUCAUAUUUUGCCAACCUUAGCUAGAUCAUCCACCAUAUUUAACAUCAAUACGCCAAGUCAAAAAAAUCUAGCAAUGAUCCACAGAGAAAAAAAUUGAUCAUAUAAGAAAAAAAGAAAAAAAAAGAUAAAAGAUAGAGCAUAAUAGUCAAUCAAUUACGAUAAAAAAAUUUUCAUUUAGGUAAUAACCAUUUUAUCCAUCAAAUAAUUUUUUUUUUAUUUGUUUUGUUUAUCAUACGCAUGAUUGUGUUUUAUAAAACCAAGCAUAUUGAGAUGGUGAAACUAUGAAAUGGAAGUUAUAUAUUUCAAAAUUUUAAUACAAUUUUAAAUUUAAAAUUAAAUAAAUGGAGAAAAAAAGAUGGAAAAAUUUUAGAAAGACUCUUUGUAUUUAUGGCCUUUGCUUUUGCCUGCCUUCCCAUUUUUGAAGAAUGUAACCCAACUUGCUGGUAACUGUCAAUCUCGCCACUUAAAUGUCUGUGCCUGUAACAUCCAUUGUUGCCCCCCUGCUGCUGCUGCUGCUUCUGUCAGCACCUCCAUGAUAGUGCGCUUCGUCAUUGGCACGAGAUCUAGCACUUUUGUAGUUAUGUCCUCAAUUGUCAAUGCCACCUCCACUGAUAUCCUCAAAUAUGCCCCAUGUGUCAUUAUUUAUUAUUGCUUUUAUCUAGGUGCAAGGACUUUUUUGAAUUAAUGUGAUCAGAAGCAAGGUUUUAAGUACUGACCUGUACUGGCUGUCACAGGACAUACCACACUAAUAUUAAAUGGCACUGCUAUAGUAAGGGGACUGGUUAUGUUCCAAUACUAAUAUAUGGCACAAAUACCAUGUUGACUCCAACAGUGUGCCAUAUAUUAUUAUGGGGGCAAUGUUGUAGUAACCCAUGGUUGUAAGCUAUCAGUAUGGGGUCCUGUAUGAAGAUUUAAACACUAGUAGAAGCACAUGAUUGGUCUCCAUUUUUCUCAGCACCCAUGAUCCCUUGAUCUAUAAUUUUUAAAGCUUUCACCUUAUAUGUUUUUUCCCUAAUUUUGGAGGUAGAGUACUAUAGUCAUUGGCAGCUGGUUUUGCCACAUACUGCCAUAACUUCUGUCUUUUAAUAGCUUGGGUGACUUAGGACUGUAAUACAUUGGUUUUCAUUGAAAGCUGCCCCCUGGUGGCACAUUCUUCUAAACAUGGGAUUCAUUGAUCUGAUGGCUGGUGAGAACAUGAUAAAUUCCUGAUGUUCAGAUGAAUGUUUAGUAAAACCAAAAAUGAUAGAGUUAAAGAUGUGCGCAUCUAGGAUACUUAGUACAAAUACAAAAAGAGGAUAAAAGGAGGGGGAACUCCAAAAAUUUGUUUGUCCAUGAGUCUUACAGGCCAAAGCUGAUUGCCAUGAGGAAAGGAAAGGACAUGUGUUGAAGGUCUGAUGGAGGCUGAAAAAUUCCUGGAUGAAAAAAAUCAGAAGAGAUAUAUUUAACGGAAAAAUAAGCUCAUGUUUCAGCUGACAGACUCUUAGACAGGAACAUGGUGGAAUUGGACCAAACUAAUACAGAAAAGGAAAUAUUCAUUUAUACUAAUGGUUUUCUGACAAUUACCACAGGUUACAACCACCAUUAGUAGACCCACAGGUUACAGGUGAAUGUUUGUAUGGCUUCUCGAUUCUGUUAAAUGGAAAACCAUGACAAGUAAAACUGCACUAUUUUUUUCUAUAACAUACAGAAAUGCAAUAGUAAAAUUAUGACAAUAUAAGCAGAAAGUUAUAAAUUACAUGCUGGUUUUUCCAUAAUACAAAUGUGAUUAUUUAGACUUCGCCUGGUUAAUUGAUCACAUCAACUCUUUCUCUAACCUGAAUAGGCAAACCUCCUUUCAUCCUCAGGGUCAGUGAGGGUAGAUAUUCUGGAGUUUUGUCCCUCCCCACAACAUUGAAUUCAAAGUUUUCAAGCGCACAAGCAGCAAUUGAUUUCAUCUGUAUGUAUGCCAUCUCCUUCCCCAAGCACAUUCUUGGACCGGCAUGAAACACUGGAUACUUGAAUGGAUUUUCUGGCUGGAAAACCCCAUUUUCCAACCACCUCUCUGGCUUGUAGUCAUUACAGUCCUUCCCCCAGAUGUCCUCCAGCCUUCCCAGAGCAUAAGCAUUGUAUGUCACAAACCAUCCUUUAUGCACCAAUGUUCCAUCUGGCAUGGUGUCAUCUUCUUUGCAAGUUUGUGUGUCAAGGGGCACGGGAGGAUACAACCUCAUCGACUCUGAUAUGGCAGCAUGUAGGUAGUGCAUCUCUCGUAGCUCAUCAAAACUAAAUGUCUCACUUGUUUUCUGUUUCAGGGCACGGAUUGAUCUGACUUCAUCCAGUAUCUUUUUCUCCACAUCAGGUCUUGCCGAUAGGAGCCAGAAGAACCAUGUCAGUGCUGAUGAUGUUGUCUCACGCCCAGCAGUAAGGAAGCUUACCACCACAUCUCGAAGAUAUUCUUCUGUGUUAUCUUUGUUUGAAGCAAAUCGAGACAAAAGAUCACUCAAGUGAUCCAAAGUUCUUUCCUUCCUUGAUCGAAUGAUGUUUAUGGCAUAGUUGUUGACAAUUGAAAUUGAUUCUUUCAACCGUCUUUCUGAGCCAAUAUUAAGCAGCCUUUUGAUCCUCCAGCUGAUUUUCAGUGCAUCCAGGAACCGCUCUGUAAUGAUGUUCUGUGCUUCUCCA